rnacentral:lncRNA from 1 species
UCAAAUAAACCCCAAAAAUUAGGGUUUUCAAUGCUAAUCAAGUGUAAACAAGGUAAAUCUAACCAACACAAAUAGACAGACUAAGAAACUCAAAUAAAGAUCCAAAAAUUGGGAUUUUCAAUAUGCUAACUCAAAUAUAAAAAAAACACAAGCAAAACACAACAAAACAUGUCGAGAAUCAGAGAAGAGAUUCGAAAUAACUUGACAUGAAAUCCUAGUUGAAGAAUAAAAAGUAUUGAAAAAUAAAUUAAAGAAACUUCGAGAAAAAAUGCUUAGCAUGUUCGAACACACAUAGAUCCGAAGCAGAUCUAAAAUAAAAUUGGAAGAACCUUAGAGAUUAAACCCAGGUUAUGAGAAAGGCUUUGAAAACCAUCGAACUAAACAAUAGAGUCAAAGGUCAAACUCGAAUAUCCAUGGCUAGCCGGACAAAGGUUGAAGACGACUGGAGAACAGUCAUCAAGCAAUGGUCGAAACCCUCCAAGAUCUGGUUAUAGGACCUCAGAAAGGAGCACUUAGUAGUCAUGAGAGGCUGUUAUUGGCCUCCGAUGAGCCUAGGAAGCGAUGUGAGGCUGGAAUAGGCCUCCAAUCAGCCUGGGAAGCCAUGGAUUAAGGUUUCAGUAAGAGACGACAGCUAGGAUUUGAGGUGAGUUGAGAGAGAGUUGAGAGAAAGAAAGGAUUCAAAGUGGC